AACGAACGCUGGCGGCAGGCCUAACACAUGCAAGUCGAACGCUCGUAGCAAUACGAGAGUGGCAGACGGGUGAGUAACACGUGGGAACCUUCCCUAUGGUUCGGAAUAGCUCAGGGAAACUUGGGGUAAUACCGGAUAAGCCCUUCGGGGAAGGAUUUAUCGCCAUUGGAUGGGCCCGCGUCGGAUUAGCUAGUUGGUGAGGUAACGGCUCACCAAGGCAACGAUCCGUAGCUGGUCUGAGAGGAUGAUCAGCCACACUGGGACUGAGACACGGCCCAGACUCCUACGGGAGGCAGCAGUGGGGAAUAUUGCACAAUGGGCGAAAGCCUGAUGCAGCGACGCCGCGUGAGGGAUGACGGCC
rnacentral:rRNA from 1 species